rnacentral:rRNA from 1 species
UACGUAGGGUGCAAGCGUUGUCCGGAAUUAUUGGGCGUAAAGAGCUCGUAGGCGGUCUGUCACGUCGGCUGUGAAAACCCGAGGCUCAACCUCGGGCCUGCAGUGGGUACGGGCAGACUAGAGUGCGGUAGGGGAGAUUGGAAUUCCUGGUGUAGCGGUGGAAUGCGCAGAUAUCAGGAGGAACACCAAUGGCGAAGGCAGAUCUCUGGGCCGUAACUGACGCUGAGGAGCGAAAGCAUGGGGAGCGAACAGG